UGCAAGUAGAUGGAUAACAGAGGAUGGAAUACUUUAAGAUCAGUGCAGAUAGAUUGAUGAUAGUGAUGUGAAUUUCAGUGUAGGGGUAAAACGAUAAUUUUAAAACUUUUUCAAAAUUAUAAUUUUAUAGCAAAAAUUAUUAAUUAAUCUAAUUAAUUAACAUGUAUUAACCCUACACAAGGAUCUAAAUAUGAUAUAUAUAUAGCAUAUAUUUAAAUCUAAAAUUUUAAAUUCUACAGUAACUAUUUUACUGUUAUGUGUUCAGAACACAUUAUCUUCGUGCAAGUAGUUGAUCGCUACAGUCUGAUCACCGUCAGGAAGAUCUGAUCAUCGCAAUGC
rnacentral:lncRNA from 1 species